CCGCGGGAUUAGAGUUUGAUCCUGGCUCAGGACGAACGCUGGCGGCGUGCUUAACACAUGCAAGUCGAACGAUGAACCACUUCGGUGGGGAUUAGUGGCGAACGGGUGAGUAACACGUGGGCAAUCUGCCCUGCACUCUGGGACAAGCCCUGGAAACGGGGUCUAAUACCGGAUAAUACCUCUGGGCGCAUGCCCGGGGGUUGAAAGCUCCGGCGGUGCAGGAUGAGCCCGCGGCCUAUCAGCUUGUUGGUGGGGUGAUGGCCUACCAAGGCGACGACGGGUAGCCGGCCUGAGAGGGCGACCGGCCACACUGGGACUGAGACACGGCCCAGACUCCUACGGGAGGCAGCAGUGGGGAAUAUUGCACAAUGGGCGAAAGCCUGAUGCAGCGACGCCGCGUGAGGGAUGACGGCCUUCGGGUUGUAAACCUCUUUCAGCAGGGAAGAAGCGCAAGUGACGGUACCUGCAGAAGAAGCACCGGCUAACUACGUGCCAGCAGCCGCGGUAAUACGUAGGGUGCGAGCGUUGUCCGGAAUUAUUGGGCGUAAAGAGCUCGUAGGCGGUCUGUCGCGUCGGAUGUGAAAGCCCGGGGCUUAACUCCGGGUCUGCAUUCGAUACGGGCAGACUAGAGUGUGGUAGGGGAGAUCGGAAUUCCUGGUGUAGCGGUGAAAUGCGCAGAUAUCAGGAGGAACACCGGUGGCGAAGGCGGAUCUCUGGGCCAUUACUGACGCUGAGGAGCGAAAGCGUGGGGAGCGAACAGGAUUAGAUACCCUGGUAGUCCACGCCGUAAACGUUGGGAACUAGGUGUUGGCGACAUUCCACGUCGU
rnacentral:rRNA from 1 species